UGGGGUACCAAAUGAGAAGUUCGUUUGGUUUUUUCCGUAGGUUUGUUUCAUAUAGGUUUGGAAUUGUGACAUCUGAUUUAGGGUUUUUGUGAUUUUGAAUUUGUAGCUCUACCAAUCUAGUCGUCUAGUUCUAAUAGUGUUUCUUAGCCUGUCAUUUUUAGUGAUUGUUGGAUUUUUAGUGGUGGGUGAUGCUGCUUGGGGUGGUGGAUGCUGGUGUUCAUUGGUUGGUGGUGUAGAGAGCUUUGAAGUUAAAUAUAAUAUAUACUACUGUGAUGGAUUUGUGGCUUAGCUUAAGUUAGAAAGGCUCACAGUAUCCAUUUUUUGCAUUGUUGCUUAUUAUGAGUAUAGAUUUCUUGCAUUUCUAUCAGGAAAAUUGGGAUUUGCAUUUAUGUACUAUUAACACUCCUAAGAAAUUGAGUCAGGCGAGAUUUUGAGCUGGAAUUCAGGUGGAAGUGAAGCUGUUGCUGUCCAUUUCUGUGUGUAUAUUUCAAGUGUUUAUGAAUGAUUUAUGAAGACAAGGAAAUGAGAAGGGAGAAGUGGCUGUAAUAUGGUGGUUUUGAGCUCGAGUUUGGGGCUGAAAUGGGUUCAAUUUGGAGUUGAUUUUGCUUGGAAGAUUUGGGUAUGAAAUGAAUUCGUUAAUGGAGGCGAAGUUGUUCGAAUUGGAGGAGAUAUGUUUGAAAUGAUGAAGCUGGUGGUAAUGGUUCGAAUGAGUGGUGGUUUGAUCAAAUUUGGCAGUGAAGAUUUAGGAGCUAAAAAUCGGUAAAGAGAAGCUGUUAAUGCCAUGGAUUCUGUGGGUUAUUUGGGUCAAUCAGUUGCUCGAGUAUGUGUGAUGGUUGUAGCUCAAGUUGCAGGCUGAAGUGGGUUGAAUUCUGAAGCUUAAAGUGAAAUCCAUAGAUGUGGUUGCAGUCUGGGGUUUAUUGAGAAGGUGCAAAGGGUUAUACAGCAAAGAAGAGGAGCUGAAGCCGUUGGUCUACGGUGAUGAAUGAUAGUGAUUGUGGAUGUUCGCAAAAACUGGAAGCUGGGGAUAGCAUGGAUUUUUUGGUACAGAGUGGUUCGAAGAAAUGGCUCAGUGGUUCUUUGUUCGUUGGUUGUUAAUGACAUUUGUUCUGGUAUCUGCAUUGGUGAAGGUCUGGUGGACUAUUUUAGAAGGUCCUGGCAAUAGCUAGGAUUCAUGCUUAGAAGGCAACGGGUAGUUCGAAAACAGGGUGGCGCUUACACCCUUUGGAGUAGUGAAUCUGGAAGAUCCACCUUUGGACCCAUUCUUUGUACACACUUUUCACAAUAUGUUCUGAAACAAGAAAACAGAUUAGUGUAGGGAGUCGGGAGCCAGUUAUUGUCAGCUGCUCGGUCGAGGAAGACUUUAUCCAAAAUCAUCAGUCACUAACAGCUUACUCUAUGUAGAAAAUGCAGAUGUAAGCAUUUCAGUCACUAGUUUCUUCACAAUCAUCAUCCACCAACAGCUUAUUCUCUGUCCAUAGGUUUGGGUGUUCUUCCUUUGCGUGGUGGGUAUAACACCUUUGGCUGAGCAUUUAAAAUAUGCCACUAACUAUGUAGGCAAUUAGCUUACUACAUGGGACUACUGAUUUGUCAAGAGGAGAUCAUGCCAAAGGUGGGGUCUAGCAGAGGUCGUGGUAGAGAUGCACCAAGUGCCAGUUCAGGUAAAACUAUUAAUACUGGUGGGAGAGCUUCACUUAAGCACAAGUGCUGGAACUGGAACAACUAGGGGCAGUGGUGGAAGUAGUACAACUACACGGAGUGGAAGAAGGGGCAAAACAACAUUUUGGAUGCCAUAAACUAUUAGAUCAUCUCAACUUAUCUCUGUUUGCAUGGCGCCCUUCCCUGUGCAAAAACUAGAGACUGCAAAACUUGGCGAAAAGGUCCCUCAGCAUCUUUUUCCUCGCAAGGUGAUACUUUUGAGCUGUAGCAUUCUAAAUCCUUUCAUUUGCUUCCUUUCAUGCUACUAUUUAUCUAUCUGAUGUUUCAUGUGAUGCUGAGAUGGUAUAAGAAUUACAAUUGAUGUUCCUUCCACAGUUCUAGUAAUUCUAAUAACAUUAUUGAAUUCAUUGUGUAUGAAAUUAA